GCACUGCUGACGAGUCCCAAACAGGAUGAAACAGCUGUUCAGUGA
rfam:Echinostoma caproni strain Egypt genome assembly, scaffold: ECPE_scaffold0002298